rnacentral:rRNA from 1 species
AGCAGCCGCGGUAAUUCCAGCUCCAAUAGCGUAUAUUAAAGUUGUUGCAGUUAAAAAGCUCGUAGUUGAAUUUCGGGAUUAGUACGUUGGUCGUGCCUUAGGUACGUACUGGUGUUACUGGUUCCUACCUUCUGACGAACCAUCAUGUCAUUAAUUUGGUGUGGUGGGGAAUCAGGACUGUUACUUCGAAAAAUUAGAGUGUUUAAAGCAGGCUCGCGCUUGAAUACAUUAGCAUGGAAUAAUGAAAUAGGACGUUGACCCUAUUUUGUUGGUUUCUAGGAUUGACGUAAUGAUUAAUAGGGAUAGUUGGGGGCAUUAGUAUUCAAUUGUCAGAGGUGAAAUUCUUGGAUUUAUUGAA